GGAUGUGAAGGUGAUCUGGCUGUGACAUCUGUCACCCCAUUGAUCGCCAGGGUUGAUUCAGCUGGUCUGGCUGGCUAGGCGGGUGUCCCCUUCCUCCCUCACUGCUCCAUGUGUGCCCCUCCUGAAGCUGCGUGCUCAUGGAAGAGGACGACCACCCCGAUACAGGAGGACCGCUCUUCGGUCAAGAGUACACGAGUAGCUGCGCUCCCCUGCUAGAGCCUCCAAGCCCACUCUCAAGGUCCCAAGCCGUCCCUCCAGAACAACAGUGGCCUCGGUGGCUUAUGUGAGCUCACCCAUCCCUGCGCCUGCAGGAACCAGGCGGCAUUUGAA
rnacentral:snRNA from 1 species